AAGUCAAAUAUUUUUGUGGUGAAACGCAAAAAAAAAAAAAAAAGCUGUACCAAAUUUUUUUUUUUUAAUCACAAAGCGAAUCUGAAACGCAAAGUGAAUCGCGAUUUCGAAGGCUCUCUAUAUGGUGUCUGUAAACCCAAGACCUAAGGGUUUUCCAUAUUUCGAUCCCGUCGAUAUGAGUUUACCGAGCUCCUCCGAUGGAUUUGGUUCGACUCCGGUCACGGGACGAACUAAUAAUAAUAAUACGGUGUCGUUUUCAGAAGAUCAGACGACGAAGAUUCGGAAGCCGUACACAAUCAAGAAGUCCAGAGAGAAUUGGACAGAGCAAGAACACGAUAAAUUCGUAGAAGCUCUUCAUUUAUUUGAUCGAGAUUGGAAGAAAAUAGAAGCAUUUGUUGGAUCAAAAACAGUGGUACAGAUACGAAGCCAUGCUCAGAAAUAUUUUCUAAAAGUACAGAAGAGUGGUGCUAAUGAACACCUUCCACCUCCUCGUCCCAAGAGGAAAGCUACUCAUCCUUAUCCUCAAAAGGCUCCUAAAAAUGUUGCUGCUUUUACGUCUCAAGCCAUUGGACCUGCUUACUUGUACACCUCUGAUUCACAGUCGUUACUGGGAAACCAGCCUGUUUGUGCUUCUACCUCUUCUUCUUCCUGGAAUCAUGAACCAACAACAACCAAUCUGCCUAUACCGGUCAUUCAAGAGGAACCAGGAGUCUCGGCCACAGCUCUUCCUAAGAAUAUUUGCACUAAGGAAGAAGAUACAACACGGAGGAGGGUACAAGUAUUGACAAAGCCUUGUGAAGAAGAAAGUUGUGAAAAGCCACAUCGAGUGAUGCCGGAUUUUGCUGAAGUUUACAGCUUCAUUGGAAGUGUCUUCGAUCCCAACACCUCUGGCCACCUCCAGAGAUUAAAGCAGAUGGAUCCAAUAAAUAUGGAAACGGUUCUUUUACUAAUGAGAAACCUGUCUGUAAAUCUGACAAGUCCCGAGUUCGCAGAGCAAGUAAAGGAGGUUGAUAUCAUCAUACAGCGUUAAAGCUUUGAAAUAGAGAAAGGUAAAAACAGCAAAUGUACCUUAUGUGAGAGCAAGAGAUAUUCAUCCAAGGCUGUUUGUGCAUUCCUUGGAUCCAGGGCCUCGAGUUCUCACUACCCGAGCAAGGAUUCCUAGAUGGCUACUGAGUUGUGGUUUUUUAUGUCCCUGUAAGUCGCGGUGGAGCACAUUUGUUUGUCCUGUCUUAUUCAGCACUCAGCAGUCAGCAGAAGAAGUGCAGAUUCAGGGAGUGACAAAACAAGUUGAAGAGAAGGCAAAGACGAUGAUUUACAUAAAAUAAAAUUAAACAUGAAUGUGUAUAUUGUAUCAUUUCAUUUGCCUUCCGUUAUACUAUUUUUCUUACUCGUCAGUCCAAUAUAGUAUACGUGCAAGUU